rnacentral:rRNA from 1 species
AUUGAACGCUGGCGGCAGGCCUAACACAUGCAAGUCGAACGAGUGGCGGACGGGUUAGUAAUGUCUGGGAAACUGCCCGAUGGAGGGGGCUAACUACUGGAAACGGUCGCUAAUACCGCAUACCCUCGGAUGUGCCCCGAUGGGAUUAGCUAGUAGGUGGGGUAACGGCUCACCUAGGCGACGAUCCCUAGCUGGUCUGAGCGGAUGACCAGGCAGAAUGGAAAUGAGACACGGGCCAGACUCCAACGGGAGGCAGCAGUGGGGAAUAUGGGACAAUGGGCGCAAGCCUGAUGCAGCAAUGGCGCGUGUAUGAAGAAGGCCUUCGGGUUGUAAAGUACUUUCAGCGGGGAGGCGUUACUCGCAGAAGAAGCACCGGCUAACUCCGUGCCAGCAGCCGCGGUAAUUC